UACGUAGGGAGCAAGCGUUGUCCGGAAUCAUUGGGCGUAAAGCGCGUGUAGGCGGUUACAUAAGUCUGUUGUGAAAGUCGGAGGCUCAACCUUCGAAAGCCGAUGGAUACUGUGUGACUUGAGUACGGAAGAGGAGACUGGAAUUCCUGGUGUAGCGGUGAAAUGCGCAGAUAUCAGGAGGAACACCGGUGGCGAAGGCGGGUCUCUGGGCCGAUAUUGACGCUGGAGGAGCGAAAGCGUGGGGAGCGAACAGG
rnacentral:rRNA from 1 species